CUGCUGAAUAUCAGCAGUACUGCAUGUCCACCUCAUUUCCACCAGCAGUUAAAUGUUAAUUAUGUCAAUUCUGGACUUUAAAAAAGACAACACAUCAAUUC